rnacentral:lncRNA from 1 species
ACAGAAGACGAAGAGCUGGAAUAGAGCUCGCCUCGGCUCUGCUGGCCUUGGCUGCAGCUCUUCCAGAAACCCGGGGCGCCCACAGAAGAAUCUCUUACCUGGCUCUCUCUUCAGGGAUGACAUCAUCGGCUCACACCAGUCUUCCAGGACCACCUUCUGGAUGCCAAGGCUGCUGCUCGAGUACCUGCUGUGCACCUCUACCUCCUGAGCCAAGGAGCACGGAUUCCAGGAACCCACUACCAUACAGAGCAACUCCUUGUGGACCCCCCUGGGAUCAGGACAGCGAGGGACAAGCGACAAAGAGGAUCAUCAGUGGCCAGCUAGUUUCUCUGGGGUUCAAACCUUGAACCAGUGCCCUAGUGAGGGGGCACUGGCCAUGGCCCUUGACCUUUGCUCUGCUUGUGUCUUGAGUCUGAGCCCUUUCCUGUACAUCUGUGCUCGUGUUCAUCUGCUAGUGAACUGGAGUGCUGCCCUCCCCGAGGAGGGUCGUCCCUUGUGACUGAUCAUGCUGUCCUAACAAUGUCCUGAGCAAAAGGGUCCCUUUGGGAACCUCUCAGGAGGGGGACCCGGGUCAGGGGCGACCAGCAUCUUGCUGGCAACUCCGUGGGUGGGGUGGGGUGGGGUGCUUCCUUCUGGAAUGAGCACGUGGCUGACCCCCCAAGGCAUGUCCCCUCCCCCUCCUCCACCCACCUUCUCGGAGAUGUCCCUUUUGGGGUAGUGGGGACAUUAGGAGCAACCUCCUAGGGUUGUUGUGAGAAUUAAAUGAACUGCAGCAGCCUGAGGCAGGGCUGGGCAGAGACCUCAGCACAUGUUUGUUGAAAGGUUUGCAGGUGGAUCUAGUCCUCCCGUUCAUGGCUCAUGUGUCUCAACCAUUCUCUCGCAGACUCCUGCAGCCCCUAUGCCCAGGGCUCUCCUUGCGCCAGAGGUAGGUGGGAAAGAGAACUGGGAGAGCCCGGACUCACUCAUGAGAUUGAACUUAAAUUCACACGGAGGACACUUGGACUCUUGCCACAUUAGCCCCGGCUUCUCGAGGCCUGUCUACACUCGCUGCUUUCCUUCCUCACCUCCAAUUUCCCCUCCAACCCACUGCUUCCUGACUCGCUCUUCUCCAUCGAACGGCUCUCGCUCAGCUGGCAUUGCCCACCGGCCAUGCCGGCUGAAGAAAAGAAGACUGAGGACCCCAGGAUGCCCAGCGCGAGGACCCCAGGAAGCCCAGCGCGAGGACUCCACCCACGACGCCCAGCGCGAGGACUUCACGCACAACACGUUGCAACCCUCCUGGAUUAGGCCAAAGCCAUCAUCUGGAAUCCUGCGUGGGACCCUGGACACACGGACACAGACACCUGCCCCCAGGACCCUCCAACUGUAAAUCGAUUGGAAGCGCCCUUGUGAGCUGGGGCCUUCAAAGGGCUGAGGAGAAAAUGCAGGCCGAGAGACCAGCUUCUCAAAUAGGCUUCAAGCCUCCAUGACCUGAGCUCACCCCCUGGAAAUGUCUGGAAAACAUAAUGGGCAGGUUUUCUGUCUUCAAAGUUUCCAUCAAAACCUCUUCAAGUUCUUUAUUGUUUAGGACUGAGACACUUGGGGACAGUAAUGGGGACUUUCUUUUGUAUCUGUCUUGAAAGGCCAAAAUAUUUUUAUAUUGCUGUAGACAAAGCCACCUAUUUACAAAUGGACUCUUGUUCCGUCGUUUCCCACCAGGAAGACCGUACUAUGUUUGUGUCUCUAUGUAUUCUGGGGUCUUGAAACAGGUUUCUCAUGGGGAUGGCCAUUCACUAGAGCCCAGAGGGGCAGAAGGGGAAGUGUCUACCCUGCCAAGGGGGUCUGGGGAAGGAGGGGGGCUAGUCUCAGAUUUGCUCCUUGUAUGUCUAGGGUAAACCCUGGGAGAAUCUGGUGGUAAAAGAACAUAUGCUGUGUUUGCCCCACA